GUGUGUGUGUGUGUGUGUGUGUGGUAUGGACAUAGGAACCCAAGCUCGGGAUCAACGCAGGGGUCUGGGGUCAUGUCCUGUCUGGUGGCCCAGCCACCCACCCGAGCUCCUGGUCUGUGUGUUCUAGGUCAUUCUGCGGGACCUGCUCCGCUUCCUUCUGGUAUACUUAGUCUUCCUUUUCGGCUUCGCUGUAGCCUUGGUGAGCCUGAGCCAGGAGGUCCGGGACCCCAGGGUCCCUGCAAGUUCGAAUGCCACGGAGGCAGCGUUGUCUGGAGCAGGACAGGAGGACGGGGAGGGCAGCGAGGUCCCAUACCAUGGCAUCGUGGACACCGCCCUGGAGCUCUUCAAGUUCACCAUCGGCAUGGGCGAGCUGGCCUUCCAGGAGCAGCUGCGCUUCCGCGGGGCUGUGCUGCUGCUGCUGCUGGCCUACGUGCUGCUCACCUACAUCCUGCUGCUCAACAUGCUCAUCGCCCUCAUGAACGAGACUGUCAGCAGCGUCACCACCGACAGCUGGAGCAUUUGGAAGCUGCAGGUGCCCCUGGAGGCUCCCCUCUCCCUCCCCAAGUUCUGGCCCCGGAGCAGAUCCAGGGCCCUGGGUGGUCUUGCCUUUGUCGGGGUGUCCAUCAUCCACUACUUCCUUCAAAGGGCUGCUGUGAGGCUCGAAUAAGCUCAUAUAUUUGAAACCUUAGAACAGUGCCUGACACACAGCAGGUGCUCAAUGUGUUAAUUAUUAUCAUCAUAAUUAUUAUUAAGUCUUCUUGAGUGCCUACUAUGGGGCUAGGCACAGUUUUAGGUUCUAAACGCAUAGCAGAGA